rnacentral:rRNA from 1 species
GACGAACGCUGGCGGCAAGCUUAACACAUGCAAGUCGAACGCCGUAGCAAUACGGAGUGGCAGACGGGUGAGUAACGCGUGGGAACGUGCCUUUCGGUUCGGAACAACUGAGGGAAACUUCGGCUAAAACCGGAUACGCCCUUCGGGGGAAAGUUUACGCCGAAAGAUCGGCCCGCGUUAGAUUAGAUAGUUGGGGGGGUAAUGGCCUACCAAGGCGACGAUCUAUAGCUGUUCUGAGAGGAAGAUCAGCCACACUGGGACUGAGACACGGCCCAGACUCCUACGUGAGGCAGCAGUGGGGAAUAUUGGACAAUGGGCGCAAGCCUGAUCCAGCUAUGCCGCGUGGAUGAAGAAGGCCUUAGGGUUGUAAAGUCCUUUCGUUGGUGAAGAUAAUGACGGUAACCAAAGAAGAAGCCCCGGCUAAUUUCGUGCCAGCAGCCGCAGUAAUAC